rnacentral:rRNA from 1 species
UACACUCCUGCGGGAGGCAGCAGUGGGGAAUUUUGGACAAUGGGCGAAAGCCUGAUCCAGCAAUGCCGCGUGAGUGAAGAAGGCCUUCGGGUUGUAAAGCUCUUUUGUCAGGGAAGAAACGGUGAGAGCUAAUAUCUUUUGCUAAUGACGGUACCUGAAGAAUAAGCACCGGCUAACUACGUGCCAGCAGCCGCGGUAAUACGUAGGGUGCAAGCGUUAAUCGGAAUUACUGGGCGUAAAGCGUGCGCAGGCUGUUUUGUAAGUCUGAUGUGAAAUCCCCGGGCUCAACCUGGGAAUUGCAUUGGAGACUGCAAGGCUAGAAUCUGGCAGAGGGGGGUAGAAUUCCACGUGUAGCAGUGAAAUGCGUAGAUAUGUGGAGGAACACCGAUGGCGAAGGCAGCCCCCUGGGUCAAGAUUGACGCUCAUGCACGAAAGCGUGGGGAGCAAACAGGAUUAGAAACCCCUGUAGUCCCAUGAU